UACAGAGGUCCCGAGCGUUGUUCGGAUUCAUUGGGCGUAAAGGGUGCGUAGGCGGCGGGGAAAGUCUGAUGUGAAAUCCUGGGGCUCAACCCUGGAACUGCAUUGGAUACUUCCUUGCUAGAGUACUGGAGAGGAAACUGGAAUUUACGGUGUAGCAGUGAAAUGCGUAGAGAUCGUAAGGAAGACCAGUGGCGAAGGCGAGUUUCUGGACAGUAACUGACGCUGAGGAGCGAAAGCGUGGGGAGCGAACAGG
rnacentral:rRNA from 1 species